rfam:Trichuris trichiura, WGS project CBXK01000000 data, contig: TTRE_21
GCUCGGAUGAGCUUCGAUGGUUCGGAGUGCAGACUUCAAAUCUGUAGCUGAUUCGCGUCAGAGUGGUUCGAUUCCACCUUCCGAGC